rnacentral:rRNA from 1 species
GGGACACGUGGUAUCCUGUCUGAAUAUGGGGGGACCAUCCUCCAAGGCUAAAUACUCCUGACUGACCGAUAGUGAACCAGUACCGUGAGGGAAAGGCGAAAAGAACCCCGGCGAGGGGAGUGAAAAAGAACCUGAAACCGUGUACGUACAAGCAGUGGGAGCACCCUUUUGGGUGUGACUGCGUACCUUUUGUAUAAUGGGUCAGCGACUUAUAUUCUGUAGCAAGGUUAACCGAAUAGGGGAGCCGGAGGGAAACCGAGUCUUAAUUGGGCGUUAAGUUGCAGGGUAUAGACCCGAAACCCGGUGAUCUAGCCAUGGGCAGGUUGAAGGUUGGGUAACACUAACUGGAGGACCGAACCGACUAAUGUUGAAAAAUUAGCGGAUGACCUGUGGCUGGGGGUGAAAGGCCAAUCAAACCGGGAGAUAGCUGGUUCUCCCCGAAAGCUAUUUAGGUAGCGCCUCGUGAACUCAUCUCCGGGGGUAGAGCACUGUUUCGGCUAGGGGGCCAUCCCGGCUUACCAACCCGAUGCAAACUGCGAAUACCGGAGAAUGUUAUCACGGGAGACACACGGCGGGUGCUAACGUCCGUCGUGAAGAGGGAAACAACCCAGACCGCCAGCUAAGGUCCCAAAGUCAUGGUUAAGUGGGAAACGAUGUGGGAAGGCCCAGACAGCCAGGAUGUUGGCUUAGAAGCAGCCAUCAUUUAAAGAAAGCGUAAUAGCUCACUGGUCGAGUCGGCCUGCGCGGAAGAUGUAACGGGGCUAAACCAUGCACCGAAGCUGCGGCAGCGACGCUCAGGCGUUGUUGGGUAGGGGAGCGUUCUGUAAGCCUGUGAAGGUGGCCUGUGAGGGUUGCUGGAGGUAUCAGAAGUGCGAAUGCUGACAUAAGUAACGAUAAAGCGGGUGAAAAGCCCGCUCGCCGGAAGACCAAGGGUUCCUGUCCAACGUUAAUCGGGGCAGGGUGAGUCGACCCCUAAGGCGAGGCCGAAAGGCGUAGUCGAUGGGAAACGGGUUAAUAUUCCCGUACUUGGUGUUACUGCGAAGGGGGGACGGAGAAGGCUAUGUUGGCCGGGCGACGGUUGUCCCGGUUUAAGCGUGUAGGUGUGUGUUCCAGGUAAAUCCGGUUCACUUUAACACUGAGGCGUGACGACGAGGCACUACGGUGCUGAAGCAACAAAUGCCCUGCUUCCAGGAAAAGCCUCUAAGCAUCAGGUAACAUCAAAUCGUACCCCAAACCGACACAGGUGGUCAGGUAGAGAAUACCAAGGCGCUUGAGAGAACUCGGGUGAAGGAACUAGGCAAAAUGGUGCCGUAACUUCGGGAGAAGGCACGCUGACACGUAGGUGAAGUGAUUUACUCAUGGAGCUGAAGUCAGUCGAAGAUACCAGCUGGCUGCAACUGUUUAUUAAAAACACAGCACUGUGCAAACACGAAAGUGGACGUAUACGGUGUGACGCCUGCCCGGUGCCGGAAGGUUAAUUGAUGGGGUC